GUGAGGAAUAUUGCGCAAUGGAGGCAACUCUGACGCAGCCAUGCCGCGUGCAGGAAGAAGGCGCUACGCGUUGUAAACUGCUUUUAACCGGGAAGAAACCCUAGGACGUGUCCUGGGUUGACGGUACCGGAGGAAUAAGCACCGGCUAACUUCGUGCCAGCAGCCGCGGUAAUACGAAGGGUGCAAGCGUUAUCCGGAUUCAUUGGGUUUAAAGGGUGCGUAGGCGGAGCGUUAAGUCAGUGGUGAAAUCCUGCAGCUUAACUGUAGACUUGCCAUUGAUACUGGCGCGCUUGAGUGCGCUUGAAGUGGGCGGAAUGUGCCGUGUAGCGGUGAAAUGCUUAGAUAUGGCACAGAACACCAAUUGCGAAGGCAGCUCACUAAGGCGAUACUGACGCUGAGGCACGAAAGCGUGGGGAUCGAACAGGAUUAGAAACCCGGGUAGUCC
rnacentral:rRNA from 1 species